ACUCAGUCUCAUAUCUCACCGGUGGGCGCGUUCUUUCCCUUUUGGAUCAGAAUUUGAACUUGAGCAUUUGAAAUUAGGAAGUAUUGGAGAAGUCACAGGCGAGAGAGUUGAAAAUCAAGAAGAGGAGAGGAAGAUCUAACAGACAAGGAGGUGGAGGAGGAGAUGCAAGCUUCAGGAGCAGAGGCGAACAGAGAUUUCACGGUGAUUUCAGAGCCGGCAGAGUGGGGAAGAAGCAGCACAGCAAAGAUAGGAUGUUCAUCGCACCCCCUUCAAGCAACUUCAUUUAUGUUGCUGCGUGCUUUCAUUUACUCCGUUUGAAUAUCCGGUGUGCACAACUGAUGGGAGUAUAUGAUAAAUUAGUUUGAAAAUUUACUGGUAAGCCAUCACAAGUGUUUUUCUUAAUCGAAAGUUAAUGAGCUGUUAUAUGAUAAAUUGGGUUUGCAAAUUGGGUGCAGGAACAUAAUCCCGUAGCAUAAUCGCGUGCAAAUUGGGUGCAAAUUAUGAGUUACUGUAAGCCAUCACUCUAUCUCACUUUCACUGCAUUGAAUUGCUAUUCCUUUUGCUUUUUCUACGUUGAGAUGCAUUUGGUUGAGAAACCCCAAACAUGAGCUGAAUGGUGAAUUUUAAUUGCAUGUUUCUUUGUAUAUCAUUUUCUUCAUUUUUUUAGGAAAGAAUAUUCAUGAUUGAGGAAUCGAG